rnacentral:rRNA from 1 species
GUGGGGAAUUUUGGACAAUGGGCGCAAGCCUGAUCCAGCAAUGCCGCGUGCAGGAAGAAGGCCUUCGGGUUGUAAACUGCUUUUGUACGGAACGAAACGGUCCGGGUUAAUACCCUGGGCUAAUGACGGUACCGUAAGAAUAAGCACCGGCUAACUACGUGCCAGCAGCCGCGGUAAUACGUAGGGUGCAAGCGUUAAUCGGAAUUACUGGGCGUAAAGCGUGCGCAGGCGGUUUUGUAAGACAGGCGUGAAAUCCCCGGGCGCAACCUGGGAAUUGCGCUUGUGACUGCAAGGCUGGAGUGCGGCAGAGGGGGAUGGAAUUCCGCGUGUAGCAGUGAAAUGCGUAGAUAUGCGGAGGAACACCGAUGGCGAAGGCAAUCCCCUGGGCCUGCACUGACGCUCAUGCACGAAAGCGUGGGGAGCAAACAGGAUUAGAAACCCGUGUAGUCC